AAAUUGAAGAGUUUGAUCAUGGCUCAGAUUGAACGCUGGCGGCAGGCCUAACACAUGCAAGUCGAACGGUAACAGGAAGCAGCUUGCUGCUUUGCUGACGAGUGGCGGACGGGUGAGUAAUGUCUGGGAAACUGCCUGAUGGAGGGGGAUAACUACUGGAAACGGUAGCUAAUACCGCAUAACGUCGCAAGACCAAAGAG
rnacentral:rRNA from 2 species